CUUUGCCCUGUUUUGGUUCUACUUACAGUUCCCAAUAGUGCUUUACUUUUCUGUGUAUCUUGUGUAUCAUCCUCGGCUUUCUGACCAUUCUCACUUCUGUAUUAUUGACCCAGCUUUUGUAUUUCGCUACUGUGAUUUCUGGUUCCCUUGACUCGACAUCUAUCCCUCGAUUAUGUGACUUCUGGCUCCCUCGACCUUGGCUUGUCCUUGAUCAUUCCUUAUCUAUCUAACGUUAAGUCCGGCCAUUCUAAGUCCCGAUAUACGUUCUUCUAUAACAUCCUGCAUGUUGGGUCUCUAAGGAAUCCUGACAUUACAACAGGGCCUUGAUGGACCCUGCAGGUGUAAGUCCUCAAAGGCUCUCUUAUGAUGAUAGGUUUGAAGAGAUGGAACAUAGAAUGGACCAAAUGGCUCUCACUUUACAAACCUUAUUGGCACGUUCAGUUGUUCAACCAGCAGAAGCCUAAAGGCCC